rnacentral:rRNA from 1 species
UGGCUCAGGAUGAACGCUGGCGGCAGGCUUAAUACAUGCAAGUCGAACGGUAACGACCGGUAGCAAUACUGGGGCGACGAGUGGCGCACGGGUGCGUAACGCGUAUGCAACCUGCCCUCAACCGGGACACAACGCCGAGAAAUUGGCGCUAAUAUCCCAUGUGUACAGGAGACGGCAUCGUUUUCUAUAUAAAGAUUUAUUGGUUGAGGAUGGGCAUGCGUAACAUUAGCUAGUUGGCGGGGUAACGGCUCACCAAGGCGACGAUGUUUAGGGGUUCUGAGAGGAUUCACCCCCACACUGGAACUGAGACACGGUCCAGACUCCUACGGGAGGCAGCAGUAGGGAAUAUUGGGCAAUGGAGGCAACUCUGACCCAGCCAUGCCCGCGUGAAGGAAGACGGCCCUAUGGGUUGUAAACUUCUUUUGCCGCAGAGUAACCGCGGGGACGCGUCCCCGCCUGAGAGUAUGCGGCGAAUAAGUAUCGGCUAACUCCGUGCCAGCCGCCGC